AUUGAACGCUGGCGGCAGGCCUAACACAUGCAAGUCGAGCGGUUGAGGUAGCUUGCUACCGAUACAGCGGCGGACGGGUGAGUAAUACAUGGGAAUCUGCCUGGUAGUGGGGGACAACGUUUCGAAAGGAACGCUAAUACCGCAUACGCCCUACGGGGGAAAGGGGGGGAUCUUCGGACCUCUCGCUAUCAGAUGAGCCCAUGUCAGAUUAGCUUGUUGGUGAGGUAAAGGCUCACCAAGGCGACGAUCUGUAACUGGUCUGAGAGGAUGAUCAGUCACACUGGAACUGAGACACGGUCCAGACUCCUACGGGAGGCAGCAGUGGGGAAUAUUGGACAAUGGGCGCAAGCCUGAUCCAGCCAUGCCGCGUGUGUGAAGAAGGCCUUAGGUAGUAAAGCACUUUCAGUGGGGAGAAAGGCCUUUUACUUAAUACGUAAGAGGAUUGAUGUUACCCACAGAAGAAGCACCGGCUAACUCCGUGCCAGCAGCCGCGGUAA
rnacentral:rRNA from 1 species